CGACCGAACACCGGGACCAGACUGAGUCCCCAGCAGCCCAGUCAGCCGGCGGCGGCGGCCGGAGCUUCGUCCCAGACACCUUUGAUGGCUGCCCUUUGCUCUGUCUGGUCUGAGAGGACAAAUGAGGGAAAUUGAGUAAGCCAGCUCAACAAGGCAGGAAGCUCCUGUCCGCUGUGUUACGCAUGAUUUUUCAGCAACUUUUUGAGGCGGAGGAGGGUGACCCACAGGACAGAGGCAGCCAGCCGGUUUACCAUGGUUCCCCUGAGCCUACAGAUCUCUGAUGGCUCCCAGUGGUGGCUGCAGCUUGAAAGUCACUCGGAGUAGAAGGGAGGAGCCACCACUUCUGAGCGUGGGCGAGGCCAGGAUCCUCCCUCCAGCAAUUUUACCUGUUUCCACCACGGGACAAGGAAGCGCCCUGCAGCUGUGGCCAGGAUGGACAGGCUUCCAAGGACAAUGGUAACCUGCUCCAACGCGCCUCACCGUAGGCCUCUGGGUCUGGCUGGCGGUUGUUAAACCUAUUUCACCAGCAAGGACAUGAGAAGUGGACAGGGGCUGUGCCUCGCUCAAGGUCACACAGCCAGGAAGGUGUGAAUGUGAGGUGAGCCCAAUAUCUGGGCAUGGGAAAGGAAAACCAACGGCUAGACUCCAGAGAGGAUACACAGAGCUCGUCACCACCACCAGAGCUUGCAGUGAUUGAGCACUGACUGGAUGCCUGCUCUCUCGCCCAGCC
rnacentral:lncRNA from 1 species